CAGCAGCAGCCGCGGUAAUACGAAGGGUGCAAGCGUUACUCGGAAUUACUGGGCGUAAAGCGUGCGUAGGUGGUGGUUUAAGUCCGUUGUGAAAGCCCUGGGCUCAACCUGGGAAUUGCAGUGGAUACUGGGUCACUAGAGUGUGGUAGAGGAUAGUGGAAUUUCCGGUGUAGCAGUGAAAUGCGUAGAGAUCGGAAGGAACAUCUGUGGCGAAGGCGACUAUCUGGGCCAACACUGACACUGAGGCACGAAAGCGUGGGGAGCAAACAGGAUUAGAUACCCGCGUAGUCCCUGUCUCUUAUAA
rnacentral:rRNA from 1 species